UCCACACUGCUGCUGGGGCAGUGAGGACCCGGCCAGGCUGGCAGCUGCGGGAGGGAGUCGGGAUUUCUCCCCGCUCCCUGGGAGGCUGAGCUGCUGGGAAAUUCCCACCACCCGUGCCUGCCGGCUUUCCUGGAACCUUCUGCAGAGAGAGCCAAGAAAGGAUCUGCCCACAGGCCUCUGGGGCUACGAAUUCUCUCUUCCCUGUGCCUGGGCAUGAACCGGGAAGAAAACUUCUGUGUCUCCCCUGGGUGAGCCUUUGAUAGCAAUAAACAGAAGCCUGACUGUCAUUUAGAAGGACUUCUCAAAGAAACUUCAAAAGCAGAAGUUUCAAAAGCAGAAGACACAAAAAUGAUUCAUUUGGUUCCCCGCCAAUAAAGGAUCUCUGUGAAACAAAGGGCAAAGGACGCAAUGGGUCAAAGGUAACAAACCGAUGACAGAUGGGGAGAGUAUAUUGCAAUACCUAGAGCCAAGCAGGGACUAAUACCUACAAGGAACUCUUACACCUCAACCAAAGAGAAAGAACGCAGUAGAAAAAUGGGCAAAGAGUAUGAACAAUUUGCAGAUUAAGAAACCUAAAGCCCUAAAUAAAUGUGUGAGAGAUGUUCCUUGUUCAUAAGGUAAUAGUAAAUUAAACCAAUGAUGAGAUAGUGUUUUUCACCAAUUUGGCAAAAAUUAUAGGGUUAGGGUUAGGGUUGAUACCAAGUGGGGCAGGGAUGUGGGCUAUGAGCUCCCUACAAUACUGGUGUCAUGAGUAGGCCGUGUAGCCAUUCUGCAGAGCAUGCACGUACGCCACGUAACCAAUGACCCUCUCCUAGGGAUAUCUGUGUGUCUCCCUCUAUAUAUAUAUCCUGAAGUCUCUUGCACAGGGGCCUAAGGACACACGUGAGGAUGCUCGGCUUGGCAGACGGUUCCUUGUGAAGGCAGCUCCCGGCAUGGAGUGCCUACAACCCUUGGAAUUUCCUGGAUGAUAGAAGUGUCUUUUGUUCUAAUAAAGUGACUCUUGGUGGGCUCCCUCGUCACUAGCAAGACCAAGCCAUGAUUAGAAGCUUGGAACCUUCGGCUACGAGCCCCACCCUCAACCUCUGGGGAGGGGAGAGAGGCUGAAAGUUGAGUUGAUCUCCAGUGGCUGAUGUUGUCAUCAGCAUGCCUACGUGAUGAAGACUCCAUAAAAACCCCAAAGGACAGGGUUUGGAGAGCUCCAGGGUUGCCAACGCGUGGAGGGGCUGGAGGGUGGUGUGCUCAGGGAGGGCCUGGGAGCUCCACACCGCUUCCCCCUCAUACUUCAUCCCUGUAUCUCUUUAUUUGAGUGUUUGUCUGGAUCCUUUGUAACAUCCUUUAUAAUAAA